rnacentral:misc_RNA from 1 species
CCGAGUGCGGGCCCUCGCGGCCCAACCUCCCACCCUUGUCUCUAUACACCUGUUGCUUUGGCGGGCCCACCGGGGCCACCCGGUCGCCGGGGGACGUCGUCCCCGGGCCCGCGCCCGCCGAAGCGCCCUGUGAACCCUGAUGAAGAUGGGCUGUCUGAGUACUAUGAAAAUUGUCA